CGGAGAGUGGAGCUGAGGGCUGGCGAUGCUCGGGGCUCCGCGGAGCUCCGCGGCUGCCGGGCAGCGCCAUGAACCUGGGAGAUGGACUGAAGCUCGAAACUGAAGUGCUGGAUGGAAAGCCUAGGCUAAUUUUAGCUUCUUCUGAUAAAUCAAAGCCUGCCAUGAAGAUGGGUAAUAAAGCCAGAGCACCUAAACAGGCAUUGAGAAUAAAGCACUCUGGACUCAUCUUGAGGGCAACACAAAAUGCUUGUAUCAAGCAGGAAAAUUUAACAAAACCAAGGAGUGAAUCAAGCUUAUCAAUGACAAAAGGUGAAAAACUGCAAGUUAAUAAACACUCCUCACAUGAAGCUGCAACUAAAAGUUACUCUUUGAUUUUCCAAAGAGAUAAGACAAAGAGAUAUCCUGAUUCAGAGGAUCCUAGUAUUGUGAAAAACACUAAACACAAACCUCAAGCCCCACAUGUAUCAGCUGAAGACUUAAAAAGUUUGGUGUGUUUAACACAAGCACAGCUUCAACAGAUUUUGAUGAUCGUUAAAGAAGGAAGAAGCAUUUCUGAGACUCAUGAUGAAAAGCAAGAGGAAAUGGCUACUAAUGAGGCACCAGAGGAAAAUGUUCUAGCAUCACUCCAAAAAGAUUGUGAAGUGUCCCCGGUUCCAGAUGAAGCAAACUCUGAUUCAGGCAGGAAACAAGAAGCACAUCCACAGCCAGGACAGAAUGUUAUAAAGGAUUCAUGGAAACCUGCUGACUUGUUUAGUACCUUGGGUGAAAGAGAAGGGGACAAAGCCUUAUUGGAAUUUAAAAAGGCCCAAUGGAAGAAGGAAUUAGAUGAACAGGUAGCACUGAAGAAGAAGUUGAAAGAAACUCUGGAGGGAGAGGUGGGUUAUUUCUGGGCAAAACUUGGCAGUAAGAAAAUCCCUAUAGUGGAAACACCUGACCCAGACCAGACAGUGCUUCCAGCUGACUCAGUUUGUGGCACUGAGGAGAACUCUGCCUGUACAGCUGCUUUAGCCACAGAGGCUGAUGGAGUUGCACUGAAUGUUCCAAGAGCACCAGCUGGGCAGUCUUCUGAUUUCAGUUCUUCUGACUUUCCAGCUGGCAAUUGCACAGCAUUGCCUUUCAGGGAAGGUGUGCCUCAGGAGCGACCUUUUACUGCUCUGAAACAUGAGCAACAGAAGAAGUGGCUUGAAGAGUUGGACAAGCAGAAGGAAGAAGCUAAACUACGAAAAUUAGAAGAAAAACUUAAUUUAUCAAAGGCAGAAGAGCAUGACAGAUGGGAAAUGCAUUUUGAUUCUUUUAAGAACCACUUUAAUGCUAAUGCACAACACCCCUUGAAUGGAAUGCACAGACAGCCUGAAAGUCUUUCCUUGUCACCUGACCCCAAGGACCCGACUGCUUUCAUUCACCCUGUGUCCCCUGCAGCUUUAGGCAACCUCAUGCCCUCACAGAUGGGAACUGCAGAAAAAGCUGCUAAAAAUGGUGCUUUGGAGCAAAGUCAGAGAGCCAGUUUCCUCCGUUCCAUGACGGCUCUGCUGGACCCUGCACAGAUUGAGGAGAGGGACAGGAGGCGGCAGAAGCAGUUGGAACAUCAGAAAGCAAUAAUGGCUCAGGUGGAAGAAAAACGGAAGCAGAAACAACUGGAGGAAGAGCAGAGAAAAUGGCAAGAGCAGCAGGAAGAGCUGCGCCUGGCACGAGAAAAAGCACAACUGCAGAAGCAGUUUGAAGAAGAAAUGCUGAAACAAAAACAAAAGGAGGAACUUGUAACCCUUAAAGCCAAAGAGCUUUAUCAGACAAUGGAGAAAGCUCAGGAAUUAACCCAGGGAUCAAAACAAGACCAGCACAUUCCAGACUUGGCUCAGAAGGCACAUGACAUUUCAGAACUUCAGAACAGUCUUGGUGGUGGUGACACAGAGUUUGACAACUGUAAUUCUGGCAUUUCAGCACAAAGUAUUGAUUUCCCUGCAGGUGUGGAGAGCCCCCCUGAGCUGCAGGCCUCCCCUCGGAAGGACACAGCGGUGCAGACAGAUUGCUUUAAUCCUUCAGCAUACAUAGAGUCAGCUGAGGAAAGAACUGCAUGUUGUGAAUCGCCUGAUAUUUCCAUAGAAUAUAAAGAAAUGUCUAACAGCAAAAAAUACCAGAAGGAAAUGCAGUAUAUGGAUAAAAAUAAACUUCCAGGAAAAGGGACUGGUGGUAUUUACAGUGAUCUAUAUGAGCAAUAUGCAAGAAAAGAAAGGCACAUUAAAUCUUCGGAAAAAUACAGCAAAAGACCUGACUGGAACAUAAACAAGCCUGGGAAAAGAUUCAUUCCAGCCUCAGAAAGGUACCCCAAAGCUCUGCAGAGACAGAGGGAGGAGAACAAGGUGCGCCGCCAAAUGGAGCUGCUGCAGCUGGUGGAAAGGAACAGCCCCGGGCAGCUCAGUGCACGAAGGGGGGGGCACUCAGCCAGGUCCCUCUCACCCCGGGAAGAAGCAGCUGGGAAGAGUAAGGGCCACAGAGGCAGAAAGGAAGAAAAAUUUCAUAAGAAUCACUUGAAUGAAGAAAGAUCUGAAUCACCACCUGUUCCAGCAGUUAGGAACAGAUUACUCCAAGUACAACAAAGACAGAUGCAGGCUCCUCAUUUCCUGCUGUGUAAGGAGCUGGGUGGGAGCGAGCAGGACGCCCCGGCAGCCUCGCAGCAGAGGAGCUCCCCCGCCGCCGCCCCCCCGAGCCCGCCCUGGGCGCGCUUCGUGCCCUACGUGCGCACACGGGAGGUUUUCUGCCUCCCCCCGGAGGCACCGCCGAGCCGGCCCUCGACACAGCACACCCACGAUUCUUACCAAAUGCCACGACAGAUUUUUAGCUCAGAUCAUGUUCGAGAUCCUCUUCUAAAUCCUGAUGCAGUUACAAUCAGAGAGAGACAACAAGAAAUUCUCAAAGGAUUGUCAAAAUUACGACAGGUCACAGCAGGUAUAGGAGCUAGCAACAGACUCUCUUUCCUCACUGAAAUCACAAGUCAGUGGAUAAGCUGAGCAAAGUGAAUUAUUUGUGAAAAAGAAGGGACAAAGUUUAAGAAAGGACUCGCCCCCAGGGCCUCCUGCAGAAGCAGAAGGAGUUGGAGAACACUCUGAUUCCCAUUGUAGCUCAAGAGAACUUCAUGCCACCGUUCUGAGAGGGGCAUAUGAAUGUUCUGAAUCCUCAAUAUGGAAAUGCACAGCACUUUCUACUGUAAUUAAUUACAAACCACCUCUAGCUUUUUUAUGAAAAUUAAAUUAUGAGAAUUUUGAUAGCCUACAUGGUCACAUUACAUUUUAUAUUGAAGAUAAUUUAGACUCAUGAUGGUUUGUCUGUUUAGAAUGAUUUUCCUGCUACUUGAAGACAAGUGUCAAUUUAAUAUAAACCACCAAAAACCAUGAAAGUGAACUGUUACAUGGGUUUUUGUAGAACUCAGUGUGAGAAUUUUGAUAAAUAAAAAGAUUAAGAUGUA